ensembl:lncRNA novel transcript
ACAAGCCUUGCAGAUAUCUGGGGAAAUAUCAUUGUAGACAAAAGCAAAGGAAAAUGCAGAGGCUCUGAGGGGGGAAUAUGGCUGAUGUGUUGAGACAGAGCAAAGAAGCUCAUGUAGCUGGAGCAGAGUAAGCAAGAAAGAAAGGCUAAGAGAGGAGUUUAGAGCUGAAACAAGGCCUAGAUGAUGCAAGACCUUGUAAAUUACAGGAGAAAAUUUGUGUUUUACUGUGAAUAACUAGUGAGAACAUUGAAGGCUCUUGAGCAAAGAAAUAGUAUGAUCUGACUCAGGCUGUUAUGUUAGUAAUAGAUUACAAUGAAGACACAGGAGGAACAGAGAGGAGGCUGUUGUAAUCUAGGGGAGAAAUGAUGAUGGCUGCUAUGAUCUGAAUGCUUGUGUCCCCCUAAUAUUCAUUUAUUGAAACCAAACCUAACCCCCAAUGUGAUGAUACUAGGAGGUGGGGCCUUUGGGAGAUAACUAGGCUGUGAGAGUGGAGCCCUCAUGAACAGGGGAUUUGUCCCUUGUAAAAGAGGAACAAGGGAGGUUGUUUUCCCUUUCCACCACCGGAGGACUCAGAGAAGAAGACGCCAUCUACCAAGCAGGGAGCAGGCCCUCCUCACCAGACACUGAAUCUGAAAACACUUGAAUCCUGGACUUCCCAGCCUUCAGAACUGUCAUUUACUCAUUCAGCGUCACUAGUGGGACCUUCACAAGGCAAAUGCGCCAGUGAGUUGCACUCUAACAAGGAUUACCAGUUUUGGGGAGGAAGAUCACAAAGUGACAUUUUUAUCACAGUAAAUCAAUGGCACAUGCUAUCAACAUGAAUAACUAUUG